GCCAGCAUGGCAUAGUGGUUUGAGCACUGGACUACAGCUCUGGAAGACCAGGGUUUAAAUCCCCAUUUGGCC